rnacentral:rRNA from 1 species
ACAGGUGCUGCAUGGCUGUCGUCAGCUCGUGUCGUGAGAUGUUGGGUUAAGUCCCGCAACGAGCGCAACCCUCGCCUUCAGUUGCCAUCGGGUAGAGCCGGGCACUUUAAGGAACUGCCGGUGACAAGCCGGAGGAAGGUGGGGAUGACGUCAAGUCCUCAUGGCCCUUACGGGCUGGGCUACACACGUGCUACAAUGGCGAUGACAAUGGGUUGCGAUCCCGCGAGGGGGAGCUAAUCUCAGAAAGUCGUCUCAGUUCGGAUUGUUCUCUGCAACUCGAGAGCAUGAAGUCGGAAUCGCUAGUAAUCGUGGAUCAGCAUGCCACGGUGAAUACGUUCCCGGGCCUUGUACACACCGCCCGUCACACCAUGGGAGUUGGUUCUA